AUUGAACGCUGGCGGCAUGCCUUACACAUGCAAGUCGAACGGCAGCACGGGGCAACCUGGUGGCGAGUGGCGAACGGGUGAGUAAUGCAUCGGAACGUGCCAUUGAGUGGGGGAUAACGUAGCGAAAGUUGCGCUAAUACCGCAUAUUCUGUGAGCAGGAAAGCAGGGGACCGCAAGGCCUUGCGCUCUUUGAGCGGCCGAUGUCAGAUUAGCUAGUUGGUGAGGUAACGGCUUACCAAGGCGACGAUCUGUAGCGGGUCUGAGAGGAUGAUCCGCCACACUGGAACUGAGACACGGUCCAGACUCCUACGGGAGGCAGCAGUGGGGAAUUUUGGACAAUGGGCGCAAGCCUGAUCCAGCCAUGCCGCGUGAGUGAAGAAGGCCUCGGUGUAAGACUCUUUCGGCCGGGAAGGAAAUCGCAUGGGUAAUACCUCGUGUGGAUGAC
rnacentral:rRNA from 1 species